rnacentral:rRNA from 1 species
UACGUAGGGUGCAAGCGUUAAUCGGAAUUACUGGGCGUAAAGCGUGCGCAGGCGGUGAUGUAAGACAGAUGUGAAAUCCCCGGGCUCAACCUGGGAACUGCAUUUGUGACUGCAUCGCUGGAGUACGGCAGAGGGGGGAUGGAAUUCCGCGUGUAGCAGUGAAAUGCGUAGAUAUGCGGAGGAACACCGAUGGCGAAGGCAAUCCCCUGGGCCUGUACUGACGCUCAUGCACGAAAGCGUGGGGAGCAAGCAGG